CAUUAACUUAAAAAAAGUUGAAAAAAGUUGAAAAAUUUUUUUAUGACUUAAAUUCAUCUUUGUUGUUAAAAAAUCUGUAAAAUUAAAGAACUUUUUUUCAUCAGGCAAGGGUGAUUAGUUGUGAAUUAAUUAAGCAUACUUUUUUUUUUGCUCUUAAUUCAUUUGCGUUUUCUUCUUGACCCCAUCAUAUAGGGUAGAGCGGGACCAAUUGAGCAUAAGUGUUUUUAGGAUGAUUAUAAACUUUUUUAUCUUCCAUCAUUUAAGUGUUGAUAUUUUACCAAAAUAUCGGACUUUCGAUUAAAAUUAGCAGUUUUUUUCCUAGUCUUACUUUUUCUCUUUUAAACCUAACUAAUGUGUCACCUUGUCUAGUUGGAGUAAGUUGAACAGCUUUGAAAAAAAAUAAAAAGAACUUAACUAUUAAACAUUAAAAAUCAUCUUGGAUUAGAAAUAAUUUAGCGGAACAUUAUUUAUAUAUAUUUUUAAAAUUAGUAAUUUUUAAAUCGGGCUUUAAAGUUCAAGAUAGCUGUAUUAAAUAAUAUUUUUAUAUUUUAUGACCCAUUCUUAAUAUUUAAUUUUUUCUCUUCUUUUACGUCAUUAAAGUAAACAAAAUAAAAAGUUUAUAAAUUAUAGACACGCUUAUUGUUAGCAAAAGUUUUAUUGAUAAUUCACCCAAGUUUUGUACCAUACAUAUUUAUUUAUUUGGUGAUUGCUCAACUUACCACACACUUUUGCUUAACUUACCCCGCUGGGGCAGGUUGAGCAGUUGCUGAGCUAGCUCCGCUCUAUCCUACUAAAAUUCUUAUUUUUAAUAAGAAUUUUAAUAAUAUUAACAUACAAACGCUCGUUUCAAUUUUUUUGCUCACUCUUAGUUUCAUUAUCAUUUUCUCAUUGUUUUUAUCUUUGAAGUUAUUAAAUUUAAUUUUGGUUUUAUUAAUUUGAUUAUUCAAAAUUUUUCAUCUUAGUAUUAACAUGAAUUUUAAGUAUUAGUAUAUAGGUACCAAGGCAUGUUCCAAGCGUUUUACGGGUCGUGACAGCUAGUUUUAAGUAUUAGUAUAUAGACUACAGAAACUAUUGCAAACGUAAUCAAAUGACGUAUCAAAAUGACGCAAUUAAAUAAACAGUUUAAAUUACUCAAAAUUGUUUCGUUUUUUAUUUAGUUAUGGACUGCUGGAUGUUUUUUAUGCUUCUGUGCUGCUGCCACCUUUUGUUGAUAGCUGUUGUAAUUAUCCUUGUAGUUUUCAAUCUCUUGCUAUUGCUCAAACAAAAGGAGAAUAUAUUAAAAAGCUCUGAAAAUAACUACAAAACAUUAAACAAGUUGUUAAAGAACGGUUGUAUCUCAAAGAUAGCCGAAAGUGAAAUUUCUUCUAAAGUUGAAAGUCAAGGACACGUCUUUCGUAUUGUAGAAAGAAUAAGCGAACUAGAAGAUAUUAUUACAAAACAAAGAAUGAAGAAUAACCGUCGUAAAAGUCUAUGUCAUACAAAACGACAAAGUGUUUGCGAAGAUAGUUUAGUUUUUCGUAGAAAAUCACGAAUUAACUCACCUAGUGAAAGUGAAGAUCAGUUUUGAACACAGUUAGAUAUUGAAAAAAUGAAAGACGAAAAAAAGUUAAAGGUUUAUUGUAUUAUAUUAUGUCAAAUAUGGUGGAAAUUCUUUAUGAAAAAAACUUUUAACAAAAAAAAAACGAAAAAACUAAUACAUUUAUGAACCUUCAAAAGCUAAAAUAAAAAAAAAAAGAUUAUGUAUGUAUAUAUAAAAUGUAAGGUGAAUUUUAUUUAAAAAUAAAAUAUUUAUAGGAUUUAUUAAUAUUUACCAAA